GAUGAACGCUGGCGGCGUGCCUAAUACAUGCAAGUCGAGCGAACGGACGAGAAGCUUGCUUCUCUGAUGCUAGCGGCGGACGGGUGAGUAACACGUGGAUAACCUACCUAUAAGACUGGGAUAACUUCGGGAAACCGGAGCUAAUACCGGAUGAUAUUUUGAACCGCAUGGUUCAAAAGUGAAAGACGGUCUUGCUGUCACUUAUAGCUGGAUCCGCGCUGCAUUAGCUAGUUGGUAAGGUAACGGCUUACCAAGGCAACGAUGCAUAGCCGACCUGAGAGGGUGAUAGGCCACACUGGAACUGAGACACGGUCCAGACGACUACGGGAGGCAGCAGUAGGGAAUCUGCCGCAAUGGGCGAAAGCCUGACGGAGCAACGCCGCGUGAGUGAUGAAGGUCUUCGGAUCGUAAAACUCUGUUAUUAGGGAAGAACAGAUGUGUAAGUAACUGUGCACAUCUUGACGGUACCUAAUCAGAAAGCCACGGCUAACUACGUG
rnacentral:rRNA from 1 species